AAGGUAACCCCUGCUCCUGGCAGAUGUGGGACGAGAAAAGAGAAUAAGAAAUACCAGAUGUCUGGGACCUGACAAGACUCCUGAAGAGCUCUGCGAGGCUCCAAAGGUUGCACUCGGUUGCUAAUAAAACAUAAUCCAAUAAGAGCUAACGUCACCUUGGCACGUUCUUUGAAGACACACAGAUCCAAGGUCCUGGCCAGUGGUUGCCAGAUUGAAAACUGGAAAGGGCUCUUGUUGUGUAAAAGAAGGAAUUUCAUCAG
rnacentral:lncRNA from 11 species